UACGUAGGGGGGCAAGCGUUGUCCGGAUUUAUUGGGCGUAAAGAGCGUGUAGGCGCCAGGUAGGUCCGCUGUGAAAACUCGAGGCUCAACCUCGAGAUGUCGGCGGAAACCAUCUGGCUAGAGUCCGGAAGAGGAAAGUGGAAUUCCCGGUGUAGCGGUGAAAUGCGCAGAUAUCGGGAAGAACACCCGUGGCGAAGGCGGCUUUCUGGGACGGUACUGACGCUGAGACGCGAAAGCGUGGGGAGCGAACAGG
rnacentral:rRNA from 1 species